AUUGCUUCUCGGCCUUUUGGCUAAGAUCAAGUGUAGGGACUGAGGGUUUUUUUUUUAAAUAAGAUUUAUUACUUAUUUUAUGUAUGUGAGUACACUGUAGCUGUACAGAUUGUUGUGAGCCUUCAUGUGGUUGUUGGGAAUUCAGCCCCACUUGCUCUGGUCAACUCUGCUCACUCAGUCCCUGCUAGCCCUGGCCUAAUGACU
rnacentral:snRNA from 1 species